rnacentral:rRNA from 1 species
GAUGACGAGUGAGCAAAGUCACUUUCCCUUCGGGGCAUUGGAGACAGGUGGUGCAUGGUUGUCGUCAGCUCGUGUCGUGAGAUGUUGGGUUAAGUCCCGCAACGAGCGCAACCCCUAUUUCCAGUAGCCAGCAAGAAAGAUGGGAACUCUGGAGAGACUGCCCGGGAUAACUGGGAGGAAGGCGGGGAUGACGUCAAAUCAUCAUGCCCCUUAUGACUUGGGCUACACACGUGCUACAAUGGCGUAAACAAAGGGAAGCAGCCCUGUGAAGGUGAGCAAAUCCCAAAAAUAACGUCUCAGUUCGGAUUGUAGUCUGCAACUCGACUACAUGAAGCUGGAAUCGCUAGUAAUCGCGAAUCAGCAUGUCGCGGUGAAUACGUUCCCGGGUCUUGUACACACCGCCCGUCACACCAUGGGAGUCGGUAACGCCCGAAGUCAGUGACCCAACCGAAAGGAGGGAGCUGCCGAAGGCGGGACUGGUAACUGGGGUGAAGUCGUAACAAGGUAGCCGUAUCGGAAGGUGCGG